rnacentral:rRNA from 1 species
AACGAACGCUGGCGGCAUGCCUAACACAUGCAAGUCGAACGAGACCUUCGGGUCUAGUGGCGCACGGGUGCGUAACGCGUGGGAACCUGCCCUUAGGUUCGGAAUAACUCCCCGAAAGGGGUGCUAAUACCGGAUAAUAUCUUCGGACCAAAGAUUUAUCGCCUUUGGAUGGGCCCGCGUUGGAUUAGCUAGUUGGUAGGGUAAAAGCCUACCAAGGCGACGAUCCAUAGCUGAUCUGAGAGGAUGAUCAGCCACACUGGGACUGAGACACGGCCCAGACUCCUACGGGAGGCAGCAGUGGGGAAUAUUGGACAAUGGGCGAAAGCCUGAUCCAGCAAUGCCGCGUGAGUGAUGAAGGCCUUAGGGUUGUAAAGCUCUUUUACCCGGGAUGAUAAUGACAGUACCGGGAGAAUAAGCUCCGGCUAACUCCGUG